UACGGAGGGUGCAAGCGUUAAUCGGAAUUACUGGGCGUAAAGCGUGCGUAGGCGGUUCGUUAAGUCUGUUGUGAAAGCCCCGGCUCAACCUGGGAAUGGCAAUGGAUACUGGCGAGCUAGAGUGUGUCAGAGGAUGGUGGAAUUCCCGGUGUAGCGGGUGAAAUGCGUAGAGAAUCGGGAGGAAACAUCAGUGGCGAAGGGCGGCCAUCUGG
rnacentral:rRNA from 1 species